rnacentral:lncRNA from 1 species
AAGAGAUGCAAAACGUAGCUCCUGCAGAGUUAAGGGGCAAAAAAGUAAACUCAGUUACAGACCUUAGGAGUUAGGAACAGUUAAAGUAAAAAAAACUAAGAGUGUUCAGGCUGGCUCACUGUUCUCUUUAUCUUCUUUGUUCUUAGGAAAGAGAAAGAGAAAAACUCAAUCCUCUUUUUUCUUUUCCACUGCAACAUUCAGUUAAUAAUCCAUGAGUCAAACAGCAUCCCAUUUAGAAACUAGAAAGGCAUUCCCAAGGGAUUUUUUUUCCAACCACCUGGCAUCCAUUCAUCCUUCUCCUGGUAAAAUCGAGAAUUUUAUGUAGGGACUCAUCACUCCCCCACUUUGUGAUGCCAUUGUGACAAGGCCCUAAUCAACUCCUCCCAUCCACUUGACCACUGGGAUUAGUGCAGGUUACCAAUUUGACUCUUAAAAGGAAGACACUGGACAGAAAGCUAAGAGCACAUGGAGUCAGGAGCUGCCCAAAUCUUCCUGCGACCAUGAUGGGAGAGCUUAUGUGAGACUGAAACCAACAUCCAGAGGAGAUGGAAACCAUGCUGAGAGAGGAUCAGGUCCUGGUGAUAGCACUUAAAUUCCUGUAUCAAGCUACACCUGAACACAGUGUGUGUUGUGAUGAGGCAUUUUGGACCAGAAAGCUGAGGUCAGCCCCCUAGACCUGGCAGAGCAUCUAGGUGGAAAGAGCCUGAGAUGGGAUGACUUCCUGGAGCAGAGCCUGGCUCAGUGUGUAUGUGAAAGAGAAAUCCAUUUCCAUCUUGGUUUCUGGACAUCUCAUGUUCUGGCUGCAAGAACACCACUGAGUUUGCCAGCCAAGGACUUUCCUGAAACUGAGUGUGGAACUUCUAAUGAGCUCUGGCCGAGCAGGACGAGCACCCACAGCCCCAGUGCAACCUGACAGCCAGGUAACAGGACUUCUCUGGUGAUUCAAGUUAAGAAUCCACCUGCCAAUGCAGGGGACACGGGUUUGAGCCCAUGUCCAGGGUCCAGGAAGAUUCCACAUACCACGGAGCAGCGAAGUCCACGCACCUAGGGUCUGUGUUCCACAACGAGAGAAGCCAGUGCAAUGCGAAGCCCGCGCGUGGCAACUAGAGAUUAUUAGCUCCUGCUCGCUGAGACUAAAGAAAGACUGUGUGCAGCAACGAAGAUCCAGCACGGCCAUAAAUAAAUAAAUAUUUCCCUAAAAAAAAAAACA